CGCGGGAGUUCCGCGGUCCGGAGGCGGAGCCACCUUCCCCUUGCCGCCCCUCCUGACUGCUCGCUGUGCUGGCUAGGGAAUAUGAUAUUUCAGCUUUCAUAAUGGAAAUAAAGAUGUUUUUACCUCU